CCGUUAGUCCCUCUCUUUCUGUUGGUCAGUCUCUCCUUCCAUUUGUCUUCCUGUCUGUCCUUCUUUCUCAAUCCUUCUCUCUCACUCUGAAAGAAUGCAGUUGUUCUCUUCACAUGUUUACUUCUCUCCUGGCUUCGUUUCCAGGUUUGGCGCUCUCCUAACAAAAGUCAGCCUUGGCCCAACACUGCAUCCGGCCUGCCUUUCAGAGUCUGUCUUCAUGCCUCUGGCUCAGUCUUGCCACAGACCCUGACUCCUAUCUGCCUGUACGACAUCUGAUUGCCUCGGCCCUUCUCUUCUCCCCUGGCUGGGCAGCGGGUUGUUUCCUCUGGACCCCUUGUCCCAGACCAGAGAUACUUGUACAAACCACGGUCAUCUGCACUUGUCCUUCAACUGUGAUUUAUGAGGGAUGUACCCGGGCUCAGUGUCUCUGGGAUCCAUUCAGUCAUUUUGUCAGGACUGUCUGGUAAAUUGCCUCUUCUUCCACGGUGCUAGCCGUGAAUGACUGUCCCCUCCGCCAACCCCGGGCCCACUGGUUGUGACGCUCCCAUGGCGCUCCUGCAAGUCUGCCUUGGGCCACAGGGAGGUCCGCCGCUUCAUUUCUGGCACUAGAAUGGAAGGGACCAUGGAAUGGGAAUCCUGGCUUGAGCACCUUAAUCGGGCUCUUCACGCUGUCUUGCACACAGACAGCUCAGAAUAAGAGACCAGAUUCUGGCGUUGUUUCGGUCGGGCUAAUCUGACAGACUUGCACGGCUCCUUUGGAGGGUAAAACCUACUUGGGGGAACAGGGCAUGGGUACCUGAAAAGGGUAUCUUCGUGACACUGAAUGGUACUAACCGUGACCCCACUACCACUGCCAUCAUUUAUAGAAUCUUUGUAAAGCCACUGUUCUGAAGCACUAGGUAUACUUUAGGCCCUUUAAUUGUAGCAACAACCCUCAUAAAGUAGGUACUACUAUGUUCUUUUCACAGAUAAAGAAGCGGAGUCUCAAACAGUCUCUCAAUGGCUUGAGAAAGUCGCCCACGUUCACAGAGGUGACUCUGAUCGCCAUCAAAAUAAGAAGAUUGAGAAUAUGAGGCAAACGACAAUGGUUCCUCCUCUGGGGGUUCACUUUCUGCGGUUUCGGGUACCUGCAGCCAAGCCCAGUCGGGAAGCAGGUGAUCGAUCCUCCUCCUGACAAAUUGGCGGACGAUCCAUAGCGCCUAACGCCACGUCUCAGCGCCUUCCGUCGUCCACCUGCCUUCGUCUCAUUGUCUCAUCGCGUAGGCAUUUAAUCAUCUCACAUCAUUGCAAGAAGGGCCUGCCCCAUGAGAACACUGGAACAUCUGGUUGAUGUCUGCACCUGGAAAGGGCUGAAGCAACUGACUGGCAAAAUUCCUGCACACAUGACUCUCAGCAUGGAUACAGAUGAGAAAACUAAAGCUCAGAGAGGUCAAGCAAGUUUCCCAGGACCUCUCAGCUAGAACUGGAUAUAAAUCCAUGUGUAUCCGUGUAACUGCAGCGCCUUCCCCCUAAAUCAACCUUUUUUUCUGGAUUGCUUGUUUUUUGUUUUUUGUUUUUCUUUUCUUUUUGUUCAUUGUGGAGACCUGAAGAAGAAUCCUGUGGUCCUCGGUCCUGAAAAGGGUCUACCAGAAUUCAGAGGACCUUGUGUCUCUUGCAUCCAAAGCCAUGGCUCCUGGCAGCUGGGACCUGGGCCUCACCACAUGCACCAUGCGUCGCUGGCUUCCAGGUGCCAGGGGCUUGGGCCGAGGCCACACAGUUGUCUGCACGGGCCCCGGCCCCACCGCUGGCUGUCUGGAGUGAACGCCCGGGAUGGAUCCUCUCCGUCUGCCAGGCUGUUUUCCUCAUCCAUCUGCCUUGUUGGCUUUUAAUGCAAGCAGGAAACAAAACCGAAAAAAGAGGAAAUCGGUGCUUUACAGAAAAGGGACAACAUCUUCCUUUAGCGAGUCGGGGGUCUGAGGAGGGGCGCGGUGACUAAGGUUUGCGGGGCGCUGUUACCUGCUGGUGAGGGGCUACAGAAGCCAGCUGCGGAUCAGGCUGUGCCGCCGGUGCCUGCGAGUGGCUGAUGCGGAGGCCUCUUGGCGGCUGGGGGAGGCGGCACGAGCUGUCAGCUUCGAGCAGGAAGCCAACCCAGCCCGCGGCACCCGGAGGGCGAACAGUUGAAUGAAACACACACUUGGUGAGGAUGUUCGGCUUACAGAUGUCACUAAGCUGAAGCCGUGAUCGCUAGGAGCCAAUACAUCGCGGCUUGCGGCAUUGGACCCCACCGACCUGACGCUCUCUUUCCUCACCUGUGGCCGAGAAGGGAUACGGGAUAAGCCGCUUCUUGGCCGCAAGUCCUGGGAAUACUAUUUUGUGUUUGGAAACUGCCAGAGAAGCACUGAUGAGCCAGUCCAUUGCGCCGAGCACGUUGGUCGUGGCGGGCUCCCUUCCGGUGACUGAGGCGGAAGCCAGGGAGAGCACAAGUUCUGGUGGAAUGAACUUCACCCUUGCUUGGGAAUCAACAUGGGAAAUACAAUAGGGUGCAUUUGAGAAACAGUAUCCCCGAUGUCUACGAAAGGCCAGGCUGGCCGAGAGAAGCUACUUGCAGACGGCCACGGCCAGCACUCAGAAGUGGAGAACAUUGUUUUGGAGUCAAAGAGACGGGCCCCAGAGGCAGGCAGGAAGAGUAGCAGACUUAGCACCAUUGCCAGCUUCCACAGACCAGCUGAUGACCCAUGUGAGCCCAGAAUGGAAAAGACUGUCACAUGUUGGGUGCCUGGCCUGGACCUCACAUCAGGUGGUAUCGAUCCCAGAUUCGUCUCCCGAGGCCCUUCCAAUGCGCUUACCUACCUGGAGCCUCUCGCUGGGACAGGCACAAAGAACAGGACCGAAGAAUUCCAUUUCUAAGAAUAAUUUUGUGUAAGGAAAACCUCCCAGUGAAAACGGUCUGAUGAAAUGUGCUUAGUUUGGCUUUGGCCGAGCUCCUCGUCGUCCUAAACGAGGGCACAGAAACACGCACAAACAAUAUUUGCUACUACCUAAAAAGUGUAACCGCGCAUUUACGGCAAAAGCAAUGCAGGAGAUUGAGAAGUGGAGACUGGCCCCUAAGAAGAGCUCCGCUUACAUAAAAGAGGAGGGCCGAAGGAGGUGUGGUCUGCUGCCACCAAGCGGUGAGCCACGUAAGCCUGAUGGCUGCCAAGAGCCCUCACUUAUCCGGAGCCCAGCCUGGUCCCUGGGGAAGGUGGACAGGAAGAGGAGGAAAGUGAAGAAGACGCCAGUGCCGCCAAAGUAACCGUCAGGAAAAGACGCGUCCUAAAGCCGAAUGCGCUUUUUAUUCGGAGAACGCCGCAUCGGGACCUCAUUCGUGCCGUCUUAAGGCCCGAUUCUAACAAGCUUAGUUUUCAAACCCUAUAGCACGUUAGAAUCAAGGAAUUAGCACGCGAAGAAAGCCAGCGAACACACUACAUAUUUAUUUUAGUCUUAACAAACACCAGUAGCAACCAACGCGAUACUGGUUACGGACUCAAUUUUAAGGAUGAUGAAACAGGUUCAGAGAAGGUCAGCCAGUAAGUGAUCAAGUCUGUCUUCACAUUCAGGGUUCUGGCCUCAGAGCUCAUGUCUCUUCCUUUUCUCCCCCUCGCCUUUCCAAAGACGGGCAUGCUGAGAAGCAAGCCUCAAUGGCAGGACAAUGGCAGGACAAUGGCGGGGGACAGCAUGGAAUCAGUAUUGAAAAUUUGCCGCACCCU